rnacentral:rRNA from 1 species
GUGCCAGCAGCCGCGGUAAGACGGAGGAGGCUAGCGUUGUUCGGAAUUACUGGGCGUAAAGCGCGCGCGGGCGGUUUGGCAAGUCAGGGGUGAAAGCCCGAGGCUCAACCUCGGAACGGCCUUUGCGACUGUCAGACUGGAGACCGGGAGAGGAGAGUGGAAUUCCCAGUGUAGAGGUGAAAUUCGUAGAUAUUGGGAAGAACACCAGUGGCGAAGGCGGCUCUCUGGCCCGGACCUGACGCUGAGGCGCGAAAGCGUGGGGAGCAAACAGGAUUAGAAACCCCAGUAGUCC